rnacentral:rRNA from 1 species
CACGUAGGGACCAAGCGUUGUCCGGAUUCAUUGGGCGUAAAGAGCUCGUAGGCGGUUCGAUAAGUCGGGUGUGAAACCUCCAGGCUCAACCUGGAGACGCCACCCGAUACUGUCGUGACUAGAGUCCAGUAGGGGAGCGUGGAAUUCCGGGUGGAGCGGUGAAAUGCGUAGAGAUCCGGAGGAACACCGACGGCGUAGGCAGCGCCCUGGACGACACCUGACGCUGAGGCACGAAAGCUGGGGGAGCGAACAGG